rnacentral:rRNA from 1 species
CUUGCUUUCUCCGCCGGCGACCGGCGCACGGGUGAGUAACACGUAUGCAACCUGCCCCUGUCAGGGGGACAACCCGCCGAAAGGCGGGCUAAACCCGCGUACAUGCCACCGGGGCAUCCCGGAGGCAGGAAAGGCUUCGGCCGGACAGGGAUGGGCAUGCGGCGCAUUAGGGCAGUAGGCGGGGUAACGGCCCACCUAACCGACGAUGCGUAGGGGUUCUGAGAGGAAGGUCCCCCACACUGGUACUGAGACACGGACCAGACUCCUACGGGAGGCAGCAG